rnacentral:lncRNA from 1 species
AAUGAAGCGAUUAACACCCAUGAAAACAUUGUGGCAGUACGAGGAAAAAAAGAGGAGUUUUUUUUUUUUUGCUGUGUGGCCGGAUGGAGGAGGGAAAUAAAUUAACCGGAAAUGGGAAAUGUGUAUAUAAGGAGGAGUUAUAGGAGGAACGAAAAAGAGAGAGAAGGGAAGAGAGAGAGAGAGAGAAUGGAUUACCCGAGACAACCGCCUAGUUGGUCAAACACUGUGCCGCUUGUCAGAAAAAGCAAUGUUCUCUGAAGAACCCAACGGAAUAUACCCCUAUCGUGGUGGCUC